rnacentral:snRNA from 1 species
GUGCUGACUUUGGCAGCACAUAUUCUAAAAUUUGAAGGACAUGGAGAAGAUUAGCAUGGCUCCUGUACAAGGAUGACACAUAAAUUCAUAUUUUGACAUAUAC